rnacentral:rRNA from 1 species
UUAGUUUUAUUCUAACUAAAAGAUUAGUGAAUUUUAAUAAAUCUUAUGCUUAAUUUUAAUAAAAAUAAAUAUAUACAUACCAGGAGUAGUGACGUAUAUUACACUAUGUUUUCCAAUAGCAGCGAUUAGCGUUAUAUAAUGUGUUAAAGCACGAAACAAUUUAAAUACCAUCGAAGGCCUCAUUCGUGCCAGCGGCAGCGGUUAUACAAAUGAUCAUCUAACAAAUAAAAUCUGUAAUAAGGACAUUAUAAAAAUAAUUUAAUGGUCAAAUAUUUAUAUAUAUUGGGUUUAAUAUGUCAUUUAAUAAACUAUAAACCAAAACAAGGAUUAGAUACCCUUUUAUUAUUAGUAUAAAAAUAAGAUUGGAGACUACGAGUAAUAACUUAAAAACCCAAGAAUUUGGCGGUGUCUUAUUCAAUCAGGGGGGCCUGUUCAAUAAAUCGACAGUCCACGAAUAAUAUACCUUAUUUUGAAUAUAACAGCAUGUGUACUGCCGUCCUAUAGGCCCUUAUGGUUACCUAUAAAUAAAUAAAUUUAUUUUACGUCAGGUCAAAGUGCAGUUAACAAUAAGGAUGCUAUGGGCUACAGACUAUAACAUAGUCUAAUUAACAAAUUAAAGUUGUUUUAUAGAAGAACUUGAUAGUAAUUAUAUUAAUAUUAUAAUGAAAUUGAACUUAAGAUAAGCACAUAUCGCCCGUCACUCCUUUAUAUAGGAUAAGUCGUAACAUAGUAGGAGUAAUGGAAAUUGCAUCUGU